AGGGUUUGAUCCUGGCUCAGAUUAAACGCUGGCGGCAUGGCUAAAACAUGCAAGUCGAACGAUCCCUUCGGGGAGAGUGGCGAAAGGGCGAGGAAUACGAUCGAAUGUACCCCGAGGUGGGGGAUAGCUUAUGGAAACGUAAGGUAAUACCCCAUGAUCUCUACGGAGCAAAGGCUUGCCGCCUUGGGAGCAGCGAUCGUCCUAUCAGGUAGUUGGUGAGGUAACGGCUCACCAAGCCGAAGACGGGUAGCGGGUGUGAGAGCAUGACCCGCCGCAUCGGGACUGAGACACUGCCCGGACUCCUACGGGAGGCUGCAGUAACGAAUCUUCCGCAAUGGGCGAAAGCCUGACGGAGCAAUGCCGCGUGUGGGAUGAAGCAUCUUCGAUGUGUAAACCACUGUCAGGGACUAGCAACCAUGAGCAGUCCCAGAGGAAGGGCCGGCUAAUUCUGUGCCAGCAGCCGCGGUAAUACAGAAGGCCCAAGCGUUAAUCGGAAUCACUGGGCUUAAAGCGUACUCAGGCGGAUCGGUAGGUAUCUCGUGAAAUCCCACGGCUCAACCGUGGAACUGCGGGGUAAACCAUCGAUCUAGAGGCAGGUAGGGGUCAACGGAACCAUGUGUGGACCGGUGAAAUGGAUAGAUAUACAUGGGAACGCCAAUGGCGAAGGCAGUUGACUGGGCCUGACCUGACGCUCAGGUACGAAAGCGUGGGGAGCGAACGGGAUUAGAUACCCCGGUAGUCCACGCCGUAAACGAUGCACACUAGGUCGGGGAGGCUUUCACGCCCUCCCGGCCGAAGGAAAACCAUUAAGUGUGCCGCCUGGGGAGUACGGUCGCAAGGCUAAAACUCAAAGGAAUUGACGGGGGCUCACACAAGCGGUGGAGCAUGUUGCUUAAUUCGAGGCAACGCGAAGAACCUUACCUGGUCUUGACAUGUACGGAUUAACCCCUGGAAACAGGGGCCACGCCCUUGGGUGGAACGUACACAGGUGCUGCAUGGCUGUCGUCAGCUCGUGCUGUGAAGUGUCGGGUUAAGUCCCUUAACGAGCGCAACCCCUAUCGUUAGUUACUAACGCGUUAUGGCGAGGACUCUAACGAGACUGCCGGUGUCAAACCGGAGGAAGGUGGGGAUGACGUCAAGUCCUCAUGGCCCUUACGACCAGGGCUGCAAACGUGCUACAAUGGUAUGGACAGAGCGAUGCAAGACCGCGAGGUGGAGCAAAUCGCACAAACCAUGCCCC
rnacentral:rRNA from 1 species